CCAUUAUUAUUAUUUUCAUAAUGUGUUUUACUAUAGUGAUAUUUAAUUCUUAUAAAAAAAAUAUUCAGCAAGAAAAUCCUUUGAGAAAUGUUUGGUUGGUUGAAUCAAAAACUAAAAUAUUUCUAGACUGAUUAAUUACAGAAGUUAAAGACCAUGGCCUACACAAUGCUGAAUUUGAUAUAAAUAUUUAUUUAAAAUGAAUUUAAAAUUACAAAAUUAUUAUUUAUUUUAUUAAUAACUUAAGUCAUUUAUCCAGCUUAUAUUUACUUUUAUAACUAUGAUUUGUUCAGGUUUGUACAUUAUCUACUUAUGUAAGAUAGCUUAUCAUGUUUCUGAAAAUAUAAAAUUUAAAUGGAUGAAACAGCAUACUGAAUGUCCAGAUCAAAUAUGUUUUGAGAUGAGAAUUUAUCGUUUUCGAAUUAUUAUGGGAAUAACAUUAUUAUGUGCAAUAUUAACCAUCAUUUAUUUCAUUAUCAAUCAAAUUGUGGAAGGAUAUUGGAAAUGGAAUCAGAUUCAUUUGCAUCAUAUAUCAGCCUUUUAUAUUGGAGUUUAUGGAAUGUGGAAUCUUUAUAUUUUCAUGCAGAUGUUUUUAUAUUCCCAAUAUGUUGUUUUCCAAUAGAAACCUAUGAGAAAAGUUUUCAAAGUUUUCAAAAUAAUAAAAAUUAAUAUAUGCAUCUUUAAUUUUCUGAUUUUACACUCUCAUAAUAUUGUGUCUUUUGUUUUUGCUGCUUGGCGGCAUGCAUCUCCGUGGCCGCUUGUGCAGUAUAAUAUUCAAAAACAAACUUUCCUGCACCCUAUUAGCUAUCUUGCUGUUUGUUACGUCGGACUCAACUCAGCCACUUCAGACUAAAUAUACAACAUGUAAUUUUUUAAGUACUAUAAUUUCGUAUCAACACUUUACUGCGGUAUAUAGGCCUACUCCUCACUUCCAAACACUUUCUAGUAUACCGAUUAGAAUUAGUGCCGUGGUAUUAAAGUAUCCGGGCGGACUUUUCAAACAUGUUUAACUUAAGGUUUUACCUUUGUAAAAAAGUCGUAUUUAUAUUUAUAUGUAUUUUAAACUAUGUUAAAAUGUCCGGCGGACACUUUAGCAUGCGUGUUAAUAUGUCGAUCUUGUGUAAAUGUAUCUUCCCUGGAAAAGUAGCUUUGGUUUUGGAACAAAACGUUUAGUCUAUACAUUAUGAAGUCAAAAAUAGUAAUGGAUAUAAAGUAUAAUUUCGACAGAGAGAUAAACAAAGAAGAUUUAUGGUUUUGUUAAAUUUGAUUCGCAUAUGUUUUCUCUCUGUUCUCAACUGUAAAAAACAUCGAAACAAGUAAACAAAUAGGAAGAUAACCAUUCUCAUUCAGAUCAGAAGGACGUAAAAAUAAGCUUCUCCUAAUGACAAAAAAAAUCCUUCUUAUUGGUUAGAAGCUGACAAUCAACG